UACGGAGGGUGCAAGCGUUAUCCGGAUUCACUGGGUUUAAAGGGUGCGUAGGUGGACAGGUAAGUCAGUGGUGAAAUCCUGUAGCUUAACUACAGAACUGCCAUUGAUACUAUUUGUCUUGAAUACCCUGGAGGUGAGCGGAAUAUGUCAUGUAGCGGUGAAAUGCUUAGAUAUGACAUAGAACACCCAUUGCGAAGGCAGCUCACUACGGGAAUAUUGACGCUGAGGCACGAAAGCGUGGGGAUCAAACAGG
rnacentral:rRNA from 1 species